CGAACUAACGAACAUAUGGUAUAAAUUAUUGUUCGAUUGUUCGAGUUCGUUCGAUUGUUCGUUCGUUUGUUCGAUAGGCCUUAUCGAACAAACGAACGAAAAAUUUUGUGUUCGUUGACAACUUUAAUCAUUACGGCCAUCGUGUGUUAUGCCUUCAUAAAAGAUCUCAAACAAGAAGUGAAUAUUCUAAAUGCAAUUGGCGAAUACGAAGGGAAUCAAACGGAACUGGAAGAGAAAAUAUCGGAAUUCGUUGAAUUUCAUGCCAUUGUGAAAGAAUUUGUUCAUACAUUUACGAGCAUUUUUGAGUUCGCUUUUCUGGGCUUCUUUUUGUGGAGCAACUUGACCAUUUGCAGUACUCUUUUAAUGGCAAUUUGAAUUGUCGCAGGACAACACCAAUUUCAUUAUUUUGAUAAUUCAAAUUGGUAUCAUAUUUUGGUCAUUCUCUGUUACACUUUUAUUCUGUAAUUUUGAUGAGAAUAUAACCAGCGAAUUUAUGGAUGUAAAUGAAUGUCUUUAUCAAUGUGACUGGCACUUGUUUCCACUGCGCAUUCAACGCAUGAUCCCAACUAUUCUGAUUAAUGCUCAACGACCAAUUUUACUUCAAGCUUUUGGAAAAAAUUUAUGCACACGCGACACCUUCAAAACGUUGGCAAACAGAGGAGCUUCUUUAUGAUACUUCGUGAGCACCGACUUUAAAAACUGUUCUUAAUUAAAGAAUUGAUGUGAAAGAGUCACAUAGUCAGUUGAAGGUAGUUAAAUUUAACUCAGUACAACCUCCACUUUGAAUAAUAUUUGACAUUUUAUUUUACUUUUACCUCUGUUUAAAUUUUGCUCUAUUGUGAUGAUGCUCAUUUGAUUACAACCAAACAGUUUUUGUUAAAUUUAUGCACUUAAAUCUUACUGUC